CCCAUAGAUGUUCUGGGCCGCACGCGUGCUACACUGAGUGGAUCAGCGGGUCAGGUUGCGCGAAAGUGUUUCCUAAUCUUGAAAUCCGCUCGUGAUGGGGAUUGACGGUUGCAAUUUUCCGUCAUGAACGAGGAAUACCUUGUAAGCGCGGGUCAUCAUCCCGCGCUGAAUACGUCCCUGCCCUUUGUACACACCGCCCGUCGCUCCUACCGAUUGAGUGGUCCGGUGAGGCUUUGGGAUCUGAGCAAAGAGAGCGUUUCGCUCGUUUUGCCCGGAAAACUCAGUCGAACCUUAUCAUUUAGAGGAAGGAGAAGUCGUAACA
rnacentral:rRNA from 1 species